GUAGGAGUCCAGAAGGAGGCCGCUUACUGUAGAAGCUCGGAUGAAGAUCGGUUGCCGUGGAAGCUCGGAUGGAGACUUCUUAUUAUAGAAGCUCGGAUGAAGUCUGCUUGCAAUAGAAGUUCAAAGUAGAGAUCCGACUAGUGGAGCCCGUCCGUUGUAGAAGUUCAUCUGGGAUCCAUCCAUUGUAGAAGUUCGGACGGAGUCCGGCUCUUAUAGGAGC
rnacentral:lncRNA from 1 species